rnacentral:lncRNA from 10 species
GGGGCUAGGCGUGGCCGACCUCACACUCUCCUUGGGCAGGACCUGCUGCAGCUGCUCUCGGGGUUGGAGGGGAGGUUCCUAGGUCAAUGGAGUUGUGUACCUAGGAGGAUUAUGGCUGCCUCUGCUGAGUCAUGCAGAUUGUCAGGAAGUGUGAGAAAGCCAGCAGUCACCGGCCUCACCCAGCCACCCUGCCGCCAUUAACAGCACUAGGCAGGCAGUGCGCAGAGCUGAGAACUUGCCCCAGGUUACCCGCCUCCCAGCUGCUAAACAAAAGGGAGGCUUUUCAGCUGGUUCAAAUUGUUACAAAGUUCAGCUAGAGAUUUGCUUUUACCUGCGGCGUUUUCCCCAUACCACUGGCUGCCCUCCCGAAGAAUUCCUGUGAUGCCAGGCAGGAAUGGCCUGGUUGGAGACCAGCUAGCUCCCAGGGCCUUUCCCGCUGCUUCCUCUACCCCUGUAUUUCGCUGGGCUCUCUAAAUGGAUUCAGCUCCAGAGGAGGAAAACCUUGAGACCCUGAGACUUUCAGAAACUUAUUCACAGUUACCAAAGCUGAAAAUGUUUGUGGCAGGGAGUGGGACAUCCGGCUUCAGAGCAGGAACUUUCAUUGCACCAGUGAUGAAAAAGAGAAUGAAAUGUGGGUGACGUUGAGAAAGGCAAGAAGAUUUUUGUUCAGAAGUGUGCCCAGUGCCUAAAAGGGAGGCAAGCACAAGACUGGGCCUAACCUCCAUGGUCUCUUUGGGCUGAAGACUGGUCAGGCCAUUGGAUUCUCUUACAAAGAUGCCAGUAAGAACAAAGAGAUCACCUGGGGAGAGGAUACAGUGAUGGAGCAUUUGCAGAAUCCCAAGAACUACAUCCCUGGAACAAAAAUGAUCUUUGCUGGCAUUCAGAAGAAGGCAGAAAGGGCAGACUUGAUAGCUUAUCUCAAAAAAAGCUACUCAUGAGUAAUAAUUGGCCACUGCCUUAUUUAUUACAAAACAGAAAUGUCUCAUGACUUUUCUAUGUGUACCAUACUUUAAUAGAUCUCAUACACCAGAAUUCAGAUCAUGAAUGACUGACAGAAUAUUUUACUGGGCAAUCCUGAUUUAAAACUAAGACUGGCUUGUGGUUAAAUGAAUGUGUUCAGUUUUUGAAUUUUAAUAGUAAUUCCAAUUCAGUAAAUGCUAUCACUGUUUACCCCUUCUA